rnacentral:rRNA from 1 species
CAAUCAAACCGGGAGAUAGCUGGUUCUCCCCGAAAGCUAUUUAGGUAGCGCCUCGUGAAUUCAUCUCCGGGGGUAGAGCACUGUUUCGGCUAGGGGGCCAUCCCGGCUUACCAACCCGAUGCAAACUGCGAAUACCGGAGAAUGUUAUCACGGGAGACACACGGCGGGUGCUAACGUCCGUCGUGAAGAGGGAAACAACCCAGACCGCCAGCUAAGGUCCCAAAGUCAUGGUUAAGUGGGAAACGAUGUGGGAAGGCCCAGACAGCCAGGAUGUUGGCUUAGAAGCAGCCAUCAUUUAAAGAAAGCGUAAUAGCUCACUGGUCGAGUCGGCCUGCGCGGAAGAUGUAACGGGGCUAAACCAUGCACCGAAGCUGCGGCAGCGAACGUAUCACCCAAGACAACUUUACGGAGUUGACGAUUGACGGAGCGAAGCGACGUCAAAGCGUUCAUUAAAGUCGAGUUGGCUUAGGGAUACGUUCGUUGGGUAGGGGAGCGUUCUGUAAGCCUGUGAAGGUGUGUCGUGAGGCAUGCUGGAGGUAUCAGAAGUGCGAAUGCUGACAUAAGUAACGAUAAAGCGGGUGAAAAGCCCGCUCGCCGGAAGACCAAGGGUUCCUGUCCAACGUUAAUCGGGGCAGGGUGAGUCGACCCCUAAGGCGAGGCCGAAAGGCGUAGUCGAUGGGAAACGGGUUAAUAUUCCCGUACUUGGUGUUACUGCGAAGGGGGGACGGAGAAGGCUAUGUUGGCCGGGCGACGGUUGUCCCGGUUUAAGCGUGUAGGUGUGUGUUCCAGGUAAAUCCGGUUCACUUUAACACUGAGGCGUGACGACGAGGCACUACGGUGCUGAAGCAACAAAUGCCCUGCUUCCAGGAAAAGCCUCUAAGCAUCAGGUAACACGAAAUC